CCUACGGGUGGCAGCAGUGGGGAAUAUUGCACAAUGGGGGAAACCCUGAUGCAGCGACGCCGCGUGAGUGAAGAAGUAUUUCAGUAUGUAAAGCUCUAUCAGCAGGGAAGAAGAAAGACGGUACCUGACUAAGAAGCCGCGGCUAACUACGUGCCAGCAGCCGCGGUAAGACGUAGGGGGCAAGCGUUAUCCGGAUUUACUGGGGGUAAAGGGAGCGUAGACGGCUGUGCAAGUCUGAAGUGAAAGCCCAGGGAUCAACCCUGUGACUGCUGUGGAAACUGUGGAGCUCGAGUGCUGGAGAGGUAUGUGGAAUUCCUAGUGUAGCGGUGAAAUGCGUAGAUAUUAGGAGGAACACCAGUGGCGAAGGCGGCUUACUGGACAGUAACUGACGUUGAGGCUCGAAAGCGUGGGGAGCAAACAGGAUUAGAUACCCCAGUAGUC
rnacentral:rRNA from 1 species